UCGUUCGCCAGCUGCGCGCGCUCGUCCUCAACUCGUGCCUCUCCUCCUCUCGCGUCUGGUGAGGCGAUUCGUCAUCGGUUCUUGCCUCUCCUCGUCUCGCGUCUGGUGAGGCAAUUCGUCCCUGAUUCUUGCCUCUCCUAGUCUCGCCUCUGAUUCUAUGUUGCUCGUCCUCGCUCGAUUCGUCCGUCGUUUAGAGUAGAAGAAUCGCUUCUGAUUUGUUCGAGUCUGCUCGUCCUCAGUUCCUCUGUUCUGAACCGCGUCUGAUUCAGUUGAUUUCGCUUGUCCUCGAUUCGACCGUUUAGAUAGAAAUGCGCGUACGGUUUGACUUGCUCGUCCUCGCCGUCGUCGUCAGUUCUGAGUCGCGUGUGAUUUGAUUCUUGCUCCUCCUCAUCGUCGCCCUGAUGCUCUCGCGUGUUCUUGGGGCCGUCUCGUCGGGGGUUUGCGACUCUGGGAGGAAGCGAGCGAGCGGUCGGUCGAUCGGUCGGUUUGGGUCACCGUCUGGUUUGCGAACUAACAAGUCCGUUUGAGAAACUUCUUUUCUUGUGUUCCGUGUUCACGGUGGACCGAUGGUUCUUGCGUUUACUUCUGUUCCUGCGCUUCUGUUAUCUGACGAUCAUGCGUUUCGUGUUCGCGUCGGGGCGACGGUGUGCGGUUCUGGUUUCCAAAUUGGAGCAGUGUCAAAUCCGUUCCUCUGUUCCAUCACCUGCCUUGUUCGUCCUUCGUCGAUUCUUGUUCUACCGGCAGGCGUGUGUGCUCCCAUCCUAGAUGCAGCGAACCUUGUUCUUGUCUGUUACGGUUGUUCUGAUGGUGUUCGUUUCAACUUAUUUCUUGCUAUCAUGCUUUGCUUAUGUUCCAAUAUAUUACGAUGUGUGUUCAACUUGUAUCUUGUUAUCAUGCUUUGCUUAUGUUUCAAUAUAUGAUUCGUGUUCAGGGGUGCAAACCAUGUAGGCCAUGGGUACCGUGAUGUGAGGCUUCUCUCCUGCAGAUAAAUUAGGAUGAUAGGCAGAGCAGAAAAGCUUGACCACUUCUUUGCAUGGCCGAUUUGGCAUCCAAUGCAUCAUAAUCACGUUUUCCAUGUUUGUUUUCAUAUCAAUGCAUCGACUCAUCAGAGCACCCUUUUCCCUGUUUGUUUUCCCUUCUUUUCCUUAUCAAUAAUCAUGGUGUUCGACAAUACUUCAUUUCUACUGUUCUUUGUUCCCUUUUGAAGUUCACUGAUUCAAAUAUGAUGUGACUUGUGUGUUAGUAUACUAGCCAUGUUGUGUUUUAUUCAAGUUAUUAACCUACAAAUUUGCCUUGAUUGAUUGCUGUUUGUGUAUGGUUAUUAAGAUUGGUUGAUUGAUUGAUGUUUGUUGAUUGAUUGAUUGAUUGAUUGAUUGAUGUUUGCUGUUUGUUGAUUGAUUGAUUGAUUGUUGUUUGUUGAGUGGUAUCAAACUUUGGUAUUUGUAGUUCCUGACCAUAGGUAACAGACCUUGCACUAUUCUUUUUUCUGAACUUUUUUGUGAUUAUGUCUUAUGUGGAUAUCAUAUUCUCUUUUUGGUAUUACUGUUGUCCAGUCCUUCGAAUAAUGCAUUUCUAAGUAUUUAAGGUACAGGACAUAUCACAUUUGCUCUUUAUUGUGUUGCUAAGGACAUUGAUGGGUUGAGUUGGCAUAUAGCGCAGUCGUGGAUCUCUCAUCAACCUGCUUAGCUCUUUCUGGAUAGGACAGAGGUACAAUAUUUACAUCCAUGGCAGAAGGUUCUUAACCCUGAACUCAUCAAAGGUCCUUGGACUCAAGAGGAAGAUGACAAAAUUAUUGAUCUUGUAAGCAAGUAUGGACCAACAAAAUGGUCUCAUUGCAAGGACCUGUAGAAGGGCCCUCCCACCUCAGCGCAGGUGAUUUCCCCU